UACACACCAACAAACCGGGGAACACCUACCAACCGGGGAAUUCCCCGGUUGGUUUUAGGCGAAAAUCUCUAAUCUACGUGAAUGAAAUACCAAACUGUCAAUUUAAAUUAGAAAUCCAACGCCUUCCCCGAUUAGCGGGUUUGUGGCAUGCACAAAAUAUACACAAAUCUUCACCAUAUUACAAUCGAGUGUGUAUCCAGGCUUAUAACAGUUCCCCGGUUGCGCUGUUUAAAAAUCAUACACUCGGUAUUUAUAUCAUUUAGUGAAAGUCAGUUGGAAAAAUGGAGUUUCGAGCGAACAAACGCAUUAAACUAAGGCAACACAAUGACUACUAGAUCUACGGACAGCCAGGAACCAGGACAAACAACAUCCGUACACACGGAAGAAGUCGAUGAGACGAGUACCGAAACUAAAGAACAUAGCGACACUGCACAAGAGUACAAUUCACAAGAUGCAGCAGAAAAUAUGUUGAACAGUGAUUCAUCGGAUAUCGAUGAUAGUGACAAUGACAAAGACUAUAUUCCGGAAGAAGGCGAUGCAUCGUCAGAUGAGUCGAUAGUUGUCGAACUCAUACCAAACAUUCAAAGAUUUCAAAAGAAGACAGCGUCAACACUACCUCCUGUUGAAUCCUUGCAAUCUCGUGAACGUGACGAAUCAUCCGCAGAGGCACACAAAACCAACAUCACCAUCGCUCAAACAAAUAACAGUGAAUACAGACAUUACGAUAAGAGAUUUUAUUGCAUGUUUUGCGAAAAGGCUCAAAUAAAACUAAAAAAAACAUUUGCUUUUGCAGCAUAAAGAUGGGCAAGAUGUGAAAGAUCUAUUAAAUACGGAAAAUUCAGCAGAAAAUAAAAAAAUGUAUGAAAAAAUAAGAAACGUAGGGAACCAUCUCCAUAAUGUUAAAGUAUUGCGAGAUGGCCAAGGACAGCUGUUUGUGUCAUACAGACAAAGUCACAAUCAACGCGUAGCUGCAGACGAGUAUGGACCUUGUCCUUACUGUUACGGGUAUUACCCGAAGAAAAUCCUGUGGAGGCACACUCAAAAAUGUAAGUUUACAAUGCGGCGGGAUCAAGAAAACGACUCGCUUUAGAGAGCAGCCUGCUAUUACCAAAAUCAAAAGAAGGAAGCACUAUUUUAAGACGAGUAAUCGAGUCCAUGAGAAACGACAAAAUAAGUCGCAAAGUCAAAAGUGAUAAUACAAUCCUUGCAUUCGGUGAAAAACUCUGUACAAAAAGGGGCCAUGAUGAAAAGCAACACAAUUAUAUUAGACAGAAGUUAAGAGAAGUUGGUAGAUUGCUGAAAUACAUGCGAUCUUGUCCAGGCAAUGUUGAAAAGUCUUUGGAGAAUUUCAUGUAUCCAGAUGCUUUCAAAUUUAUUACACAAUCUUGCAAAAACGUUGCAGGCUUCGACUGAAACACCAAUACGUAUGCUACACCAUCAUUAGCCUUAAAGAUUGGCACAACGCUUCAGAAAUGUCUAAAAAUUCUAGUUUCGAAAGGAAUCGAAACAAACAACCAGGAUCUGCAAACAAGGGCUGAGGAGCUUUCCAAACUAUUUGAAAUUAAUUGGACGGAUGACGUGUCUUCCAAUGCCUUAAGAACACUUCAUGAGGCUAAGCAGAACAGUCAGAAAGAACUGUUGCCAUUGGCAAAUGAUGUCAAAGUAAUGUCUGAAUACUUACGACAUGAAGCAGAAACACAUGCAAAUACCUUACAAGAAUCAGCAAGUGAUUGCGAGAAAAGGCAAGCAUGGCAUAAGUUGUC